UACGUAGGGAGCAAGCGUUGUCCGGAAUCAUUGGGCGUAAAGCGCGCGUAGGCGGCCCCGUAAGUCCGCUGUGAAAGUCAAAGGCUCAACCUUUGAAAGCCGGUGGAUACUGUGGGGCUAGAGUCCGGAAGAGGCGAGUGGAAUUCCUGGUGUAGCGGUGGAAUGCGCAGAUAUCAGGAGGAACACCGGUGGCGAAGGCAGCCCCCUGGGCUGACACUGACGCUCAGGCACGAAAGCGUGGGGAGCAAACAGG
rnacentral:rRNA from 1 species